UGAAGAGUUGUUGAGUGCCUUUCUUUUCUUUUGCUAAGGGAUGUGCGACUGUAGCUGAUGUUGAGUCUUCCAAGCCUACCUGUGACGCCUCGUCUGAUAUUACUAGGUGAACGACAAGGUAAUCAUCAAAAGUGGAUGGUCAGCAUUGAAUCCUUAAUCGUUUGUGAAGGGUCCAACCUCGCCACAUUUCUAACAGGCCUUGCGACAUGUUGCUCCACCUUCUACAUUCUGAAUCUGCAAUAUCAGGAGGAGGCAGCGUGCACCCUUGAAUUCAUCCAGAGAGAAAAGUACCAGAAGAAGCCUAAGAACAAUCACUAAUAAGUAAAGUGAAUGUUACUUGAUUUCUCAUGAAUGUUACUUGAUUUCCUCCCUGAUUAUCAUUUAUACUCAUCUCUGUACUUUAAAUUCUUCUGGACAUAAUCUGUCAGUUUAUUCAUUCUCACAUGUACACAAGCCCAAUGCGAUGCAAUGAUA